rnacentral:rRNA from 1 species
AGCUCCAAUAGCGUAUAUUAAAGUUGUUGCGGUUAAAAAGCUCGUAGUUGGAUUUCUGUUGAGGUUAGCCGGUCCACCCUCUGGGUGAGUACAUGGCCUGACCUUGGCAUCAUCUUGGAGAAUGCUGCUGCGCUUGAAUGUGUGGGGUGGUAUCUAAGACAUUUACUUUGAGGAAAUUAGAGUGUUUCAAGCAGGCACAUGCCUUGAAUAUAUUAGCAUGGAAUAAUAAGAUAAGACCUUGGCUCUAUUUUGUUGGUUUCUAGAGCUGAGGUAAUGAUUAAUAGGGAUGGUUGGGGGCAUUCGUAUUUAACUGUCAGAGGUGAAAUUCUUGGAUUUGUUAAAGACGAACAACUGCGAAAGCAUUUGCCAAGGAUGUUUUCA